CCUGGUCCUGGUCCACCGGGUCCUGGUCCUGGUCCUGGUCCACCGGGUCCUGGUCCACCGGGUCCUGGUCCUGGUCCUUGUCCACUGGGUCUUGGUCCUGGUCCACCGGGUCCUGGUGCUGGUCCACCUGGUCCUGGUCCUGGACCUGGUCUAUGUAUGUGUAUCUGUGGUGUGUGCCUGCAUAUGGUGUGAAUCUAUAUGGUGUAUUGGUGUUUGUUUGUAUGGUGUGUGUGUGUGUGUGUGUCUGUGUGUGUUAACGUGUGUGGUGGUGGGCGAUGACUCCAGCUAACCAGUGAAUGAGUCCCUCUGGUCUCUUUGAUGAAAGCUUCCUUCUCACUCCUCAAAGGGCCGUUCAGGAUACUGUCAAGUUAUGGUUGCUAUGGAGACGGUAUCUCGCAGAGCGCACAGAGAGCAGACGUUCUCGUGUGGAAACAUCGCCCUCUGCUGUCCAAAUCCACUCACUACACAGACAUGGACGCAAGAUCACACGUGACUUGCUUUUCACCAACUUGACAUCAAACAGUAGUAACACACACACACACACACACACACACACACACACACACACACACACACACAGACGCACGCACGCACGCACACACGCACGCACACACACACACACACACACACACACACACAGUAAGGUGAAUUGAAUGAAGACAUUCUUCGUUUUGAAGUAUGAAUCUAUAUCUGUCAAAUCAGACUCAUCAUUUUAAUCAAAAUGAGGGAGGUCAUUUAAGAUCAAACACAGAGCUUAAACAGACUUUCACUAUUACCAAGGCGACCAGAGGAGGUCGAACCUGGGUUGAGUUUUACUAUUUAGCUCACCUGCGCAGCUCGCACGCCAUGUGGUUUUCUUAAUUGGUUCAUUGGUUGCAUCAGGUGCAUUUCACAUAAGAGGGAAACGGACAAUACAUUUGUGUCCUCCACUGUUUGGCAGUUUAUCGUCUCCCAAACACGGUAUGUUGUUGUGUUCUCAGAAACUAGAACGUGUGUGUAAUGUUCUGUUGAGCUCUGUUGUGACUUAUUUGUCUUCUCUUCCUGUUUCACAGGUUAAAGACUUUUUGAAGUAAAGAGGAGCAUUUCAUCUGGACCUGAUGUCUAUCAUGGAUAUCUAACUGCAGUACUGUGAGUAUCCCAACUUUAACAUGAAGAUGAACUGCGAACUGUAAGUCAUUAGUUUCUCAUUACUCUUGGGCACAUUGAUGUAUGUUGGCUUCCUGGUGAGUUAACCCGUUAGCUGAAGGUUGAUCUGAUUAGUAAGGAUCUUUUAUUGGUUCAUGGGUUACUUAGGCGUUUGGUUUAUGUUGGUUUUAAUGGUUUGUUAAAAUGGUUACAGGCUCCAAGUUAUUGUUGUAAGCUGGAGUAAUGGGUUGGGUUCUGAUGUCUUCAGUCUUCUUUCCAGCUACUCUCCUGAGCUCUGCAUCUUCAUUACAUGAGUGUUGCUUUACUGAGGAGGGUGUGGUCUGAGUGAGCAGAGGUGCAUACUGGGCUACAGAGCUGUCUGAAGUCUACAGGUCUGUAGACACGCCCCCUCAGGGGAAACCGAGUGUUUGAGAAACCGUCGUGACGUCAGUUACAUGGACCGGAAUGUUUUUUAAGAUGGAGACAGGGUUGCAGAAGGAGAAACACCAGGGGGAGAUGAGGGGGCUCCUCAUCUCAACGAC